rnacentral:rRNA from 1 species
CCUACGGGUCGCAGCAGUGGGGAAUAUUGCACAAUGGGCGCAAGCCUGAUGCAGCCAUGCCGCGUGUAUGAAGAAGACCUUCGGGUUGUAAAGUACUCUCAGCGGGGAGGAAGGUGUUGUGGUUAAUAACCACAGCAAUUGACGUUACCCGCAGAAGAAGCACCGGCUAACUCCGUGCCAGCAGCCGCGGUAAUACGGAGGGAGCAAGCGUUAAUCGGAAUUACUGGGCGUAAAGCGCACGCAGGCGGUCUGUCAAGUCGGAUGUGAAAUCCCCGGGCUCAACCUGGGAACUGCAUUCGAAACUGGCAGGCUAAAGUCUUGUAGAGGGGGGUAGAAUUCCAGGUGUAGCGGUGAAAUGCAUAGAGAUCUGGAGGAAUACCGGUGGCGUAGGCGGCCCCCUGGACAAAGACUGACGCUCAGGUGCGAAAGCGUGGGGAGCAAACAGGAUUAGAUACCCGGGUAGUC